GUGUCAGCAGCCGCGGUAAUACGGAGGGUGCGAGCGUUGUUCGGAAUUAUUGGGCGUAAAGCGCGUGUAGGCGGUUUCUUAAGUCUGAUGUGAAAGCCCCGGGCCUAACCUGGGAAGUGCAUUGGAUACUGGGAGACUUGAGUACGGGAGAGGGUAGUGGAAUUCCUAGUGUAGGAGUGAAAUCCGUAGAUAUUAGGAGGAACACCGGUGGCGAAGGCGACUGCCUGGACCGAUACUGACGCUGAGACGCGAAAGCGUGGGGAGCAAACAGGAUUAGAAACCCUCGUAGUCC
rnacentral:rRNA from 1 species